AGAGUUUGAUCCUGGCUCAGAAUGAACGCUGGCGGCGUGCCUAACACAUGCAAGUCGGAUGUGCCCGCAAGGGUGCAUGGCAGACGGGUGAGUAACGCGUGGGGAAUCUACCUCUUUGUGGGGAAUAACGCUCCGAAAGGAGUGGUAAUACCGCAUGAGAUCCAUGGCUGGAAUGUUGUGGAUGAAACCUGGGGACCUUCGGGCCUGGGGCAAGGAGAGGAUCCUGCGUCUGAUUAGCUAGUUGGUGAGGUAACGGCCCACCAAGGCAACGAUCAGUAGCCGGCCUGAGAGGGUGAUCGGCCACACUGGAACUGAGACACGGUCCAGACUCCUACGGGAGGCAGCAGUGGGGAAUUUUGCGCAAUGGGCGAAAGCCUGACGCAGCAGCGCCGCGUGGGUGAUGAAGGUCUUCGGAUCGUAAAACCCUGUCGUCGGGGACGAAGGUGUGGGGGUUAAU
rnacentral:rRNA from 1 species